UCGUGAUUAUGAACAUCACCCACCAUGUUCUAGAUGUCAUGUUUAGCAUGGAAUUAGCUUUUACAUGGCCCAUUAACUUUUCUUGAAGAAUCAGGAUGCUCAAAGAACCACUUUUUUUGUUUAUAAGAGUAUUGCAAUUGUUUACUGAUUUUACUCUUUGCCUGUUUUAAUCCUUGGAAAUGAACAUGAAAUUCCUUUAUCCGUAUCAUUAAUGCUAUUUUAAGUCUAGGAUAAUCAUGGAGGCUCAUUAAUAUAAGCUUAAGAUAAGGUGCAUUUUCCUUUCUGCUAACCAGCGUACCAGGUUUUCUGGCAAGCCCUCUCGAGCCUAGACUUUCCUCAAAAGAGGAAUACAGUACCAGCAACAGGUGGAACUUACAAAAAUUCUAAUAUUUCUAUGGAACAUACCUAUAUCCAGAACACCAAGCACACAAAUUGGAAAACAGUAGCAGAUUAAGGUUACUUAAGGAAUCUCAGGCAUCCUUGGCAAGAAAUUUGAAUUAAUUUGAUAAGAAACCACACUCAUAUCGAGUCUAUACUUCUACUAAAAGAGUAGAAGAAUUUUGAAACUUUACCUAGGGCAGACAUAGAAGAUAAUCAAUCCAUUAGUGGAUAGAACCACACUCUAUCUUUUUGCCUAAAAUUUAAUCCACCCACGAGCAUAUCCUUAAGCAAUCAGCUUUUAAUUGAUGAUUUGAAGCCC
rnacentral:lncRNA from 1 species